rnacentral:rRNA from 1 species
AGUGAACGCUGGCGGCGUGCUUAACACAUGCAAGUCGAACGAGAACGGGUUAUAGCUUGCUAUAAUUGUCAGCUAAGUGGCGCACGGGUGAGUAAUGUAUAGGUAAUAUGCCUCUUACUAAGGGAUAACAAAUGGAAACGUUUGCUAAUACCUUAUACUCCUUAUUAACAGAAGUUAAUAAGGGAAAGAUUUAUUGGUAAGAGAUUAGCCUGUAUUGUAUCAGUUAGUUGGUGGGGUAAUGGCUUACCAAGACUAUGACACAUAACUGGUUUGAGAGGAUGAUCAGUCACACUGGAACUGAGACACGGUCCAGACUCCUACGGGGGGCAGCAGUGGGGAAUAUUGCACAAUGGACGAAAGUCUGAUGCAGCAACGCCGCGUGGAGGAUGACACAUUUCGGUGCGUAAACUCCUUUUAUAUGAGAAGAUAAUGACGGUAUUAUAUGAAUAAGCACCGGCUAACUCUGUGCCAGCAGCCGCAGUAA